GUUUUCAUGGCCGCACCAGACAGCUCCCCUGCCCAGAGAACUGUCCACAAUGACUCCACACAUCACUGAAGACUCUUGCACCAGAGUUUAGCUGAAAAAUCUGAAGGGCUUGGAAGCUAGCAGGCCCUUCAAAUGAAGGAAUAGCAGGCAUAUUGAGGUAUAUUCCCCUGGCUCCAGCACUUGUCCAGCUUGCACAAAUCCACAUGUGAAAAUGGACAAAAAAGAAACAUGAUUAAUGAGCAAAUGGAGUGGAGGAACAUGCUUCUGGAGAUGUGGGCAGAAGGGAAGGAGAGGAUGGAAGAGCAGCAGGGCAGAAUAGCAGAGCGGCCGGACAGGAAAGCAAGUGAAGCAAGUCCCUGAUGGCUGUGAUGGAACGCUUGUCAGAGAGCCUGGAGAAGAACCCUCCCCCAUCCUGUGCACAACAACUUUCCCUCCUUACCCAGUCCCAUAGCCUGCACCGCAGAGCUCCCAGGACAUGGGAUGGGGGGAGGGAACUCAAGGGCAGCCUCACACUCAAUCUCCAGGACAUCAGGAGGCAAAUGUUGUCCUCCUCGUGUUUCUGAUCCCUGCUUCAGGUCUCACCAUGGACUUCUUUUCUGCCCCUGC